GAAUGCUGACAUAAGUAACGAUAAAGCGGGUGAAAAGCCCGCUCGCCGGAAGACCAAGGGUUCCUGUCCAACGUUAAUCGGGGCAGGGUGAGUCGACCCCUAAGGCGAGGCCGAAAGGCGUAGUCGAUGGGAAACGGGUUAAUAUUCCCGUACUUGGUGUUACUGCGAAGGGGGGACGGAGAAGGCUAUGUUGGCCGGGCGACGGUUGUCCCGGUUUAAGCGUGUAGGUGUGUGUUCCAGGUAAAUCCGGUUCACUUUAACACUGAGGCGUGACGACGAGGCACUACGGUGCUGAAGCAACAAAUGCCCUGCUUCCAGGAAAAGCCUCUAAGCAUCAGGUAACAUCAAAUCGUACCCCAAACCGACACAGGUGGUCAGGUAGAGAAUACCAAGGCGCUUGAGAGAACUCGGGUGAAGGAACUAGGCAAAAUGGUGCCGUAACUUCGGGAGAAGGCACGCUGACACGUAGGUGAAGUGAUUUACUCAUGGAGCUGAAGUCAGUCGAAGAUACCAGCUGGCUGCAACUGUUUAUUAAAAACACAGCACUGUGCAAACACGAAAGUGGACGUAUACGGUGUGACGCCUGCCCGGUGCCGGAAGGUUAAUUGAUGGGGUCAGCGCAAGCGAAGCUCCUGAUCGAAGCCCCGGUAAACGGCGGCCGUAACUAUAACGGUCCUAAGGUAGCGAAAUUCCUUGUCGGGUAAGUUCCGACCUGCACGAAUGGCGUAAUGAUGGCCAGGCUGUCUCCACCCGAGACUCAGUGAAAUUGAACUCGCUGUGAAGAUGCAGUGUACCCGCGGCAAGACGGAAAGACCCCGUGAACCUUUACUAUAGCUUGACACUGAACAUUGAGCCUUGAUGUGUAGGAUAGGUGGGAGGCUUUGAAGUGUGGACGCCAGUCUGCAUGGAGCCGACCUUGAAAUACCACCCUUUAAUGUUUGAUGUUCUAACGUGGACCCGUUACCCGGGUUGCGGACAGUGUCUGGUGGGUAGUUUGACUGGGGCGGUCUCCUCCUAAAGAGUAACGGAGGAGCACGAAGGUUGGCUAAUCCUGGUCGGACAUCAGGAGGUUAGUGCAAUGGCAUAAGCCAGCUUGACUGCGAGCGUGACGGCGCGAGCAGGUGCGAAAGCAGGUCAUAGUGAUCCGGUGGUUCUGAAUGGAAGGGCCAUCGCUCAACGGAUAAAAGGUACUCCGGGGAUAACAGGCUGAUACCGCCCAAGAGUUCAUAUCGACGGCGGUGUUUGGCACCUCGAUGUCGGCUCAUCACAUCCUGGGGCUGAAGUAGGUCCCAAGGGUAUGGCUGUUCGCCAUUUAAAGUGGUACGCGAGCUGGGUUUAGAACGUCGUGAGACAGUUCGGUCCCUAUCUGCCGUGGGCGCUGGAGAACUGAGGGGGGCUGCUC
rnacentral:rRNA from 1 species